ACCUGGUGGCGAUAGCUGUGCUGAGCUGGUUAUUAAUCACAGGAAGGGAGCAAAGGGAAGGCCCGGCACUGCAGGCCUGGCAUUUGUAAGGUGACCAGACGUCCGCUUUGGGCGGGACAGUCCCGAUUUUUAACAAUUUGUCCCGGGCCCGCGGCGUUUUAAAAAAGUCCCGAUUUUUGGAAAGAAUGCACGACACGCUAGGGAACAGCGGGAGAACGGGAAGGGAAUAUACGGUUUUCGGAGGCCAUGUGGCUAUUUAGCCAGGAUAUGAGUUUUAUAUUAUUUUUGUUAAUUUUAUAAUGUUAAACUUUAAUAAUAACAAAUAAUUGUUGAGAACUGAUUAUCGAGAACUGCUUAUCAAAGUUCGCAUUGUUGAUCAGUUGUUAGAAUUCGACCACCAUUGUUUGGACUUAAUGAACAAUGGCAUUUUUUGAGAUUGGCAACGAGGAAAACAUUUUGUAACUGUCUCUCAGACGAUACACAUCGUACUGCGUGCUAGUGAGCUAGUUAAACAAGUGAUGUCAUUACAAAUCAGCUGUUCAGAUAAUUUAGGUGUGUUCUCCUGCAUUUGCCUGCAUGGCCCAUAACCGUGCGGACCCCAUGCACAAUGGACUGAAGGACUGCAGCGGCCUGAUGCUGUAUUGGACUAUGUGAAUAUGGACCGGAAGCUCUGGACUCGCUCUGAUUUUAGCUCUACUGAAACCUCAGCUACACUUCUAAGACUGGACUGAGGGAAACCGAGGGGUGUCAUUCCACAGAAGUAAAGCUUUCUACCAUCUCACAUCCUCCCAUGGGGGCUCUGGAAAUGCUUAUCCAGUGGCACCCCAAGAGCCCCACUUCCACCAGCAACCGGGGAGACAAGUCCCUCUCCUACUGUAAUAAUGGGAACCUGGGCAGAACCCGGCGUUUUCCUACCUGGACACUUGGAGAGUCAGGAUGAACCAAAGGAACCCAGUGAUUGCUAGGGACUUCUGGGCUAAUUUUGGGGGAAAUCCUUUGCAGGUUUUGAACUUCUAGCCCUAUCCUGCUUUCCCUGGGCAAUAUUGCUAGACAUUAAUUGGUUUCAUAAGUAAUUGGUUUCAUAAGUAUUUGAGCAACUCCGGCCUAAAUCUCCAGAUUCAGAGACAGGAAGAAGCACAGCGCCUGCUCUCAGCACCCAAGUGUGGAAGAACUCAGCCAGCAGGGCGGGAGGGCCAUCGGGUGUGGAUGCAACUCACCAUGAGGACUGCUGGGUUUCCUUCCGGCUCAUGUUCUACAAUAGUUUAAAUGUU